AUAAUUCGAUGGAGUCGGCUGCACAC
rnacentral:sRNA from 1 species